UACGUAGGGCGCAAGCGUUAUCCGGAAUUAUUGGGCGUAAAGAGCUCGUAGGCGGUUUGUCGCGUCUGCCGUGAAAGUCCGGGGCUCAACUCCGGAUCUGCGGUGGGUACGGGCAGACUAGAGUGAUGUAGGGGGAGACUGGAAUUCCUGGUGUAGCGGUGGAAUGCGCAGAUAUCAGGAGGAACACCGGUGGCGAAGGCGGGUCUCUGGGCAGUAACUGACGCUGAGACGCGAAAGCGUGGGGAGCAAACAGG
rnacentral:rRNA from 1 species